GUGCUCGCCUGGGCAGCACAUGUACUGAAAUUGGUUGGCACAGAGAAGAUCAGCGUGGGCCCUGCACAAGAUGACAGGCAAAGUCAUGAAGCAUUCCAUGUUUUA
ensembl:snRNA U6 U6 spliceosomal RNA